rnacentral:rRNA from 1 species
GCGGCGGACGGGUGAGUAACGCGUGGGUAACCUGCCUCAUACAGGGGGAUAACAGUUAGAAAUGGCUGCUAAUACCGCAUAAGACCACAGUACUGCAUGGUACAGUGGUAAAAACUCCGGUGGUAUGAGAUGGACCCGCGUCUGAUUAGGUAGUUGGUGAGGUAACGGCCCACCAAGCCGACGAUCAGUAGCCGACCUGAGAGGGUGACCGGCCACAUUGGGACUGAGACACGGCCCAGACUCCUACGGGAGGCAGCAGUGGGGAAUAUUGCACAAUGGGCGAAAGCCUGAUGCAGCGACGCCGCGUGAAGGAUGAAGUAUUUCGGUAUGUAAACUUCUAUCAGCAGGGAAGAAAAUGACGGUACCUGACUAAGAAGCCCCGGCUAACUACGUGCCAGCAGCCGCGGUAAUACGUAGGGGGCAAGCGUUAUCCGGAUUUACUGGGUGUAAAGGGAGCGUAGACGGCUGUGCAAGUCUGAAGUGAAAGGCAUGGGCUCAACCUGUGGACUGCUUUGGAAACUGUGCAGCUAGAGUGUCGGAGAGGUAAGUGGAAUUCCUAGUGUAGCGGUGAAAUGCGUAGAUAUUAGGAGGAACACCAGUGGCGAAGGCG